CAAUAUUUCAACAAAAAACUAACAGAAUAUGGAUCAGAUUCGGACAACGACUUCUUAAGACAUUCACACAACAGGCUAAACAAUUCAAAGAGGGAUCUCUGGAUGAUCGAGCAGCAAGUCCAGCAUUAUGUGGGAAAGAUACUACAGGUGUACACAGAAAAGGCCAUGUUCAUGUACAAGACACGGUUGGAGUUCAUAAAAGAUUAAGCUGCCUCGUGCUAUACAGACGUGGAUAAAAACAAGCUGUCCAAUGAAUGGUGACUACUCAAGAGGAGCCAGAAAGUCAACUAAGGCCAGGGUAUUUUGGGAGUUGAUAUGGCCGGGGAAGGGGGGGAGGGGGGGGGGGUUCCAGGGCCCCCCUCCCUUGAGAUCUCGACCGCACAAUCGCGUCUAACAUUGGCACAUGGGUUGUCUAGGGCAUAAUUUACAAAAUUAAAUUGUAAAUUAUUUCACGCAAAUUGUUAUUAAGUGAUAAUACUAAUUUAUGCGUAAUUAGAAUACAAAAUCAUACUUUUUCCUUUAUUGCAUUGACUUUGUACACAAAAUCACGUUUUUGAGCAAUUUUUGGUAUGACAUGUACUUACAUAAUGUCACGUUAUUACAGAACCACGUACCGGGUGACACAAGAUUGGUCUCAAAAGAUGCACAAGACUAGAAAGAGGCAUGUUUAAAAAAAAUUGUGCGACAGCAUGGUCGCAAAAUUUUUGGAAGGGGGGGGGGGGUCAAAUUGGUCCAAUUUAACUAAGGGUUAAUAACUGGGAGGCUGUUAGCUGCCUUUUUACUUUCAAGUCUUGCACAUCUUUUGAGACCAAAUUUGUGAUGCCUGGGUACGCUGUUCCGAAAUUUCGCAACAUUUUUAUGUAUUAAUCCAACACAAAUACUGUUUCUUGCUAAAAAUUCACAAUUAGUAUACCAGUAAUAUACAUUUAUCAAGAUUAAAGUCAAAUUAUUUAAUUACAUUUAUAAUCAUAAAAGCUUUGAUAAAGUAUAAAAAAAAACAAAGAGUUGUAUGUAGGCCUGGGACUUUCGGGUUUUUUCUCUUCGGGUACCCGUGGUAAUUUUCGGGCGGGUACCCGAAAAUCAUGUCACUUGAAAUAUGACUGGUGGAAAAACCCCAUAGGUGACGUCAUCAAGCCAAUGCGAUGCAAGCCAAUUUAUGAAUGAAAAUAUAGUAAGCAUGCGCAUUGCAAGCCUCCAGUGCCCCACGCAGUAUUCCAUCGAAACAAGUUUCAAUACUCUGUCACCUCGUACCAAAAUCGACCUAGAAUUCCACUUUCCUAUAUUUCAUA